GUAACGGCGAGUGAAGCGGCAACAGCUCAAAUUUGAAAUCUGGCCUCCUCGGGGUCCGAGUUGUAAUUUGUAGAGGGUGUUUCGGGCGCGAUGCCGGUCUAAGUUCCUUGGAACAGGACGUCGUAGAGGGUGAGAAUCCCGUAUGCGACCGGCGAUCAAGCCUGUGUGAAGCCCCUUCGACGAGUCGAGUUGUUUGGGAAUGCAGCUCAAAAUGGGUGGUAAAUUUCAUCUAAAGCUAAAUAUUGGCCAGAGACCGAUAGCGGACAAGUAGAGUGAUCGAAAGAUGAAAAGCACUUUGGAAAGAGAGUCAAACAGUACGUGAAAUUGUUGAAAGGGAAGCGCUUGCAAUCAGACCGGUCCGGAGGUGAUCAGCCGCUGCUCGUCAGCGGUGCACUCGCCUGCGAUCCGGCCAGCAUCGGUUUGGGCGGUGGGAUAAAAGUCCCGGGAAUGUAGCUUCCUUCGGGGAGUCUUAUAGCCCGGGUCGCAAUGCCGCCCGCCUGGACCGAGGACCGCGCUUCGGCU
rnacentral:rRNA from 1 species